rnacentral:rRNA from 1 species
AUUGACGCUGGCGGCAUGCCUUACACAUGCAAGUCGAACGGCAGCACGGGUGCUUGCACCUGGUGGCGAGUGGCGAACGGGUGAGUAAUACAUCGGAACGUACCUUAUCGUGGGGGAUAACGCAGCGAAAGUUGCGCUAAUACCGCAUACGCCCUGAGGGGGAAAGCGGGGGACCGUAAGGCCUCGCGCGAUUAGAGCGGCCGAUGUCUGAUUAGCUUGUUGGUGAGGUAAAAGCUCACCAAGGCGAUGAUCAGUAGCUGGUCUGAGAGGACGAUCAGCCACACUGGGACUGAGACACGGCCCAGACUCCUACGGGAGGCAGCAGUGGGGAAUUUUGGACAAUGGGGGCAACCCUGAUCCAGCAAUGCCGCGUGAGUGAAGAAGGCCUUCGGGUUGUAAAGCUCUUUUGUCAGGGAAGAAACAGCAGCUCUAACACAGUCUGCGAAUGACGGUACCUGAAGAAUAAGCACCGGCUAACUACGUGCCAGCAGCCGCGGUAAUACGUAGGGUGCGAGCGUUAAUCGGAAUUACUGGGCGUAAAGCGUGCGCAGGCGGUUAUACAAGACAGGCGUGAAAUCCCCGGGCUUAACCUGGGAAUGGCGUCUGUGACUGUAUAGCUAGAGUGUGUCAGAGGGGGGUGGAAUUCCACGUGUAGCAGUGAAAUGCGUAGAUAUGUGGAGGAACACCAAUGGCGAAGGCAGCCCCC